AUCACUCGGUUUCCAAAUUUAGAAACCGAGCGUUUCUCUCUCUUCCGCUCGAGGCCGAGGACGACGGCAAAACAGAGCAAGCUUCGCCGGCUUUGUUCUUCCACCUCCGGCCACCUCUGGACGAGCCAACGCCUCCAUCAGCUUCGCCUCACUCCUCCGAAGCCAUCUAUGGCAACCUUGCACGGCGGCACGGCCCUAGCGGCGGCAGCGGCCCGGUUUCGAUUAAAGCUCGAUUUUGGUCAACGCCGGUUUUCUCCUAGCUCCGGCCACCAAAACUUCCGAUCCUUGGCUCCAUGAACUCGCCUCAACCUGCUGAUCAUCAUACUAGGAGGAUUGCACCUAGAGUGACCGGUUUCACGUUCGUCGGAGCUCGUGGGUUCGCCUUGAUGUUCUUAACAACUCUCUAGAAGGAAUCGAGGGCUGAAAUUGAAGUGUUUACUUCGAAAAUCGAGCUCGCCGGUUUCUGGAAAUUUUCCGGCCACCUUCAUACUGUUCAAGGUGAUUGACGGUCUUCCUUGGUGAGCGGUUUUGGCGUGUUUUGUGAGAUUGAAGACGCAGCGGGAUUAGAGUGGGGGAUGUAUAGAGUGUUGGGACGUAGUGCUCUGAGGACUGAGAGUCCGAAGAACGCCGGUUAAAUGAUAACCGAGAUGUAGUGCUCUGAGGACUGGGAGCCCGAAGAACGCCGGUUAAAUGAUAACCGACAUGUAGUGCUCUGAGGACUGAGAGUCCGAAGACCGCCGGUUAAAUAAUAAUCGAGAUGUAGUGCUCUGAGGACAGGGUGUCCGAAGACCGCCGGUUAAAUAAUAACCGAGAUGACAGGUAUCAAAGUAGUUAGAACUCUAACGUGUUGUUGGUGUUGGGUCCAAACAGUUGGGAUGGACCAAAGUGGUAGUAUUGUGGGGAGAGAUUUGUAGAAAAGUAUUCGUUGUGAUUUUUCCCGUGUUUUGUUUGAUGUUUUAUCACAAAUGGUUCGAUUGUUGAUUUUUACUUGAAAUAAAAUAAGUAUGAAUUAAAAUCAACAUUUCUUUCUUAUUUACUCACGAGCUUUGCAAAAAGCUUACCGGGUUUUGUGUUGUUGCAAUUCCCGGUACACUAUUCAAAU